UGUGGUGAUAAAGGCAAGAAGGGCACACCUGUUCCCAUGCCGAACACAGUAGUUAAGCUUCUUAGCGCCGAUGGUAGUGGGACUUGAUCCUGUGAGAGUAGGUCGUCGCCAUGC
rnacentral:rRNA from 2 species